UAUUUUUCCAUCAGUAAUCUUUUCCUCUUUGUGUUUCACUGUGCAAACUUGCAUAUUCCAUUAUAAACUGCCUGCUAUUUUCUUACUAUCGGUAUAUGCCACUAAUACAGCUGCUGAGUUUUUCCAUAUGGCUGAAUAUUACAAGGCAGAAAGUUUAAAAAAAAACUGUAAGAGCAUGACGGUAACAGGAAGAGAAUGUUUUUGUUUCCUUCUUGCUAUGUGUAGAUUAUUACCAGAUGUUUGAGAUAACUGGAGUUAAGGGAUUGCUCUCCCUGGAGCUGCAUGUACUGCAAAAAUGUAACUACUUUGAUAUUUUAGAUGUCAAGAUGAGAAUUUACUUGAAGAGAUAAGCUUCAGCCACACCACUAAUUAGGAGACAAAUCAUUCGCACCUUUAACUCCACAAAAUCCUUGAUUUCUGCAGGAUGGGAAGAGGAUAGACAGUCCUUUUGGCCAGAAGUUCAGCAUGCACCAAAACAAGGUGAAAGUGCACUGGCUCCAAUCUGCAUUAAUCUAAGGCCUAUGUUUCUUUUGAAUUGAGACAAUACCCUGUUCUGACACUGACUGGAUGAGACCUUGAACCAAACUACAGUUGAUGUUGACAAUCUGAAUCGUGACAGAAAGCCCUAGAAACACUAGGCAAAUCGGACAUAACACUUAGAAAAGUUACUGUUGAUCUUUGGAGGCACCCAUUUCCUUAUGAGCUAUCUGCACUGCAGACGUCUUCGAAGAGUCACUCGUGGAUAGUUUUCUCUGGAAGGUUGAUGGGAAAAUGUGGUAUCCAAAGUGUGAAGUCAAUAAAAUAGUAGAGGUUGAGGGGAGACCUGAAUGUACAUUUAUGAGAAGAAUCGCUGAGGUAGAUGCAGGUCCAGGGUGAUCAAAGACACUCAUAACCAUUCAGCAGCAGAAACUUUGGCAACUACCUGCUAGAGGGAGAAGCCCGUCUCCUGCCAAAGCCAUUGUGUGGUGCAGCAGUCUGCUAGUUCUGAAAUGAUCCAUCUACAGUGGCAGACUGGGUCUAAAAACAUUGGUUGCCAGGAGACAAAGGGGGCCCACUUCAACAGGGGCCCACUUGAUAUAGGGGGCCCACUUCAUCAGGGGCCCACUUGCCAUCGGGCAAGCUGACACCCUGGCCAGCCCGCCACUGUCCACCUAUGACUCUCUACCAUGCUAAUAUGUUUGGAUCCAAGCUCCCAGCAAAUGAAUGAGAUGGCUGAAGGAGCUGGUGAAGUGGUUUAUCAAUAAUGUUUAAACAAUAAAAUAUUUUUGUUUAAAAUAAACCACAUUCCAACCUAAAUAUCCAUGUGAAAUAUUAACAACUACUUGAAGCAACUUUAAUCUGUUUUUAGCAAGCUUUUGUUUAGUCUGUUUUGGUAUUUUGAAAAGCCGACCUUGGAUAGUAAAAGCUGCCAAUCUGAUAAUUUGGUCUGAACUUACAUUAUACUGUACCGUGUGAUUUGAACAAUGGUUUUGAUUUCAGGCUGUCAAAAUAGAGUGCUAGAACCUUCAUGCAAUUCAAAUUCAUUACAGAUGCUUCAAAGUUUUAUGAACUGCAUUGUAAUGUUUUACAGCUUUGCAGAGAGAUUGCCAUUAAAGUUGUGUAUUGGUCUUU